rnacentral:tRNA from 1 species
UGUUUUCAAUUGGUUACAAGCAGGAGCAUCUGACUGUUAAUCAGAGGGUCGCUGGUUCGAGCCCAGCC